rnacentral:rRNA from 1 species
CCUGCCCAUUGAGAUUUGAAAGGCCGCGGUAUUAUGACCGUGCUAAGGUAGCAUAAUCAUUAGUCUUUUAAUUGGAGGCUGGAAUGAAUGGUCGGACAAGAGAUAAGCUGUCUUAAGUAAAAAUAUUGAAUUUAACUUUUAAGUGAAAAGGCUUAAAUCUUCUAGGGGGACGAUAAGACCCUAUAAAACUUUAUAUUUUGAAAUAAUAAUUAAUUUUGUGUGGGAGGGGUUAUUUUUAAGUAUUUUAUUGGGGUGAUAAGGAUAAAAUAAUAAGUAACUGUCUUUUUUUAUUACAAUAAUAUUUGAGCAAAUGAACCUAGUAAGGGAAAGAAGAUUAAGUUACUUUAGGGAUAACAGCGUAAUUUUUUUUAAGAGUUCUUAUCGACAAGAAAGUUUGCGACCUCGAUGUUGAAUUAAAAAUUCUUUAUAGAGCAGAAACUAUAAAAGAAGGUCUGUUCGACCUUUAAAAUUUUACGUGAUCU